rnacentral:rRNA from 1 species
UACGUAGGGUGCAAGCGUUGUCCGGAAUUAUUGGGCGUAAAGAGCUCGUAGGCGGUCUGUCGCGUCUGCUGUGAAAACUCGGGGCUUAACCCCGGGCCUGCAGUGGGUACGGGCAGACUAGAGUGCGGUAGGGGAGACUUGGAAUUCCUGGUGUAGCGGUGAAAUGCGUAGAGAUCCGGAGGAACACCAGUGGCGCAGGCGGCUCUCUGGGUCGGCCCUGACGCUGAGGCGCGAAAGCGUGGGGAGCGAACGGG